CCAAUAGCGUAUAUUAAAGUUGUUGCAGUUAAAAAGCUCGUAGUUGAAUUUCGGGAUCAGUACGCUGGUCGUGCCUUCGGUAUGUACUGGUGUUACUGGUUCCUACCUUCUGACGAACCGUCAUGUCAUUAAUUUGGUGUGGCGGGGAAUCAGGACUGUUACUUUGAAAAAAUUAGAGUGUUUAAAGCAGGCUCGCGCUUGAAUACAUUAGCAUGGAAUAAUGAAAUAGGACGUUCGAUCCUAUUUUGUUGGUUUCUAGGAUUGACGUAAUGAUUAAUAGGGAUAGUUGGGGGCAUUAUUAUUCAACUGUCAGAGGUGAAAUUCUUGGAUUUAUUGAAGACUAACUACUGCGAAAGCAUUUGCCAAGGAUGUUUUCAUUAAUCAAGAACGAAAGUUAGGGGAUCGAAGACGAUCAGAUACCGUCGUAGUCUUAACCAUAAACUAUGCCGACUAGGGAUCGGAUGAUGUUAAUUUUUUAAUGACUCAUUCGGCGCCUUACG
rnacentral:rRNA from 1 species